ensembl:lncRNA
CACAUUUCUAUGAUACCUGAUCUGUAUCACAAUAUAUAGGUUUGCUAACAAGUGGCCAGCAGUAGUGUUGCAAAAAAAGUACCUUUGAUGAUAUUUCAUUUAUAUAUUUUAUUUAUAAAAAUAUUUAAUACAGAAAACAUGAAAAAUAAUUAAACAUCUAUACAUCUGGUAACAUUUUAAGUUGAAUUUUUUAAAUCAAAUCAACUGCUUCCAGUCAGUUUGUAGUUUCUUGGUUUUUUUUUAAUGUUUUUAAAAAAAUAAUAAUUUUAAAAAGUAAUAAAAAGAUACUAAAGCAUAUUCUGAAAUAAUUUAUCACAAUAUCAUGUCACAUUAUAUCAUAAUAAUACCAUGUUAACACACUGGGUGGCUGCUUCAUUUUCUUCCACGCUCAUCUAGAUAAACAGUGGUGUGCUGUAGCAAGCGGUCAGCGGGCAGGAAGCAAGCGGCGAGGGGUGACUGUGACUCAACCUCGACAGAUUGCUGAGAAGUAACUGAGGGGAGAGAGUACAGAUGCCUCUCCUGCAUCAAGUGCUACUGAACCUGAGGAGCCGACCUACCAGCUACCACAGAGAGAGAGACACCCGCCAAGGCGCAUCACCUACGAUCAGCUGGGUACUCCGUCCUGCUAUAGUAUCCAGCCACAGCCGCAGUUGUUGCCUUUCUACCCUGCACCAGGACUGGUCCCAUGGUUGCCACCCUUGCAGCCAUACUACCUUCAGCCACCCUGUAUGUAUGGACUCCAGCAAACGUGAGUUUACAGAUGUGACAUACUGAAAUAGAACCAUGAACUACUAAUGGACUGUUUUCAUAGACUGUUUUCACGGGCAGUUGAAAUGAACUUUGAAUUUGCAGACUGCACAGAUCAUUGAAACCGAUGGACUGUUGAUCAAGAGUAUGUGCAAAGACUCUCUAUGGACUGUUUAUACAGUAGCCAG